CAACUACUCCCUCUGUCCAAAAUUUCUUGUCUUAGAUUUGUCUAGAUACGGAUGUAUCUAAUACUAAAAUGUGACUUGAUACAUCCGUAUCUAGAAAAAUCUAAGACAAGAAUUUUGGGAUGGAGGGAGUACUUU
rnacentral:pre_miRNA from 1 species